rnacentral:rRNA from 1 species
GAAAUGCGAUAAGUAAUGUGAAUUGCAGAAUUCAGUGAAUCAUCGAAUCUUUGAACGCACCUUGCACUUCUUGGUAUUCCGAGAAGUAUGCCUGUUUGAGUGUCAUGAAAUUUUCAUUCUUCAUGGUUUUAUCUUUAAACUUAUGAAGACUGGAUAAAUGAGAGUUGCUAAAUUGUUUUUUAAAUUUAGCUCUCUUUAAAAAUAUUAGUGGAGUCAUUACUGAUUAUCAAUGGUAUAAUAAAUAAUCUAUACUAUUGGAACCAGAUAACAUUGUCUUUGCUUAUAAUUGUCUUUCAAAGACACUUGACUUAUUUGACCUCAAAUCAGGUAGGAUUACCCGCUGAACUUAA